rnacentral:lncRNA from 1 species
UAGUCACUCUCGCCGGAAACUAAUCCGUCGCAUAAUAUGGUCAAUAAUCAUCAUCCUCUUCAUAAUCUUCCUCACAAUACUCCUCAUUUGGGCAAUUCUCCAACCUUCAAAGCCACGUUUCAUCCUCCAAGACGCCACCGUCUACGCCUUCAACGUCUCCGGUAAUCCACCGAACCUCCUCACCUCCAACUUCCAAGUCACUCUCUCUUCCCGGAACCCUAACGACAAGAUCGGCGUUUACUACGACCGUCUCGAGGUAUACGCUGCUUACCAGAACCAGCAGAUCACUUACCGAACAUCGAUCCCUC